rnacentral:rRNA from 1 species
CCUACGGGGGGCUGCAGUGGGGAAUAUUGGACAAUGGGGGCAACCCUGAUCCAGCCAUGCCGCGUGUGUGAAGAAGGCCCUCGGGUUGUAAAGCACUUUCAGUGAGGAAGAACGCCUGGUGGUUAAUACCCAUCAGGAAAGACAUCACUCACAGAAGAAGCACCGGCUAACUCCGUGCCAGCAGCCGCGGUAAUACGGAGGGUGCGAGCGUUAAUCGGAAUUACUGGGCGUAAAGCGCGCGUAGGUGGCUUGAUAAGCCGGUUGUGAAAGCCCCGGGCUCAACCUGGGAACGGCAUCCGGAACUGUCAAGCUAGAGUGCAGGAGAGGAAGGUAGAAUUCCCGGUGUAGCGGUGAAAUGCGUAGAGAUCGGGAGGAAUACCAGUGGCGAAGGCGGCCUUCUGGACUAACACUGACACUGAGGUGCGAAAGCGUGGGUAGCAAACAGGAUUAGAUACCCCGGUAGUC